UAUGCUCUCUGGGUGGCGAGUGGCGGACGGGUGAGGAAUACAUCGGAAUCUACUCUGUCGUGGGGGAUAACGUAGGGAAACUUACGCUAAUACCGCAUACGACCUACGGGUGAAAGCAGGGGACCUUCGGGCCUUGCGCGAUUGAAUGAGCCGAUGUCGGAUUAGCUAGUUGGCGGGGUAAAGGCCCACCAAGGCGACGAUCCGUAGCUGGUCUGAGAGGAUGAUCAGCCACACUGGAACUGAGACACGGUCCAGACUCCUACGGGAGGCAGCAGUGGGGAAUAUUGGACAAUGGGCGCAAGCCUGAUCCAGCCAUACCGCGUGGGUGAAGAAGGCCUUCGGGUUGUAAAGCCCUUUUGUUGGGAAAGAAAUCCAGCUGGCUAAUACCCGGUUGGGAUGACGGUACCCAAAGAAUAAGCACCGGCUAACUUCGUGCCAGCAGCCGCGGUAAUACGAAGGGUGCAAGCGUUACUCGGAAUUACUGGGCGUAAAGCGUGCGUAGGUGGUCGUUUAAGUCCGUUGUGAAAGCCCUGGGCUCAACCUGGGAACUGCAGUGGAUACUGGGCGACUAGAAUGUGGUAGAGGGUAGCGGAAUUCCUGGUGUAGCAGUGAAAUGCGUAGAGAUCAGGAGGAACAUCCAUGGCGAAGGCAGCUACCUGGACCAACAUUGACACUGAGGCACGAAAGCGUGGGGGAGCAAACAGGAUUAGAUACCCUGGUAGUCCACGCCCUAAACGAUGCGAACUGGAUGUUGG
rnacentral:rRNA from 1 species